UACAGAGGUGGCAAGCGUUUGUUCGGAAUUACUGGGCGUAAAGGGCGCGUAGGCGGCCUUCUAAGUCAGACGUGAAAUCCCCCGGCUUAACCUGGGAACUGCGUCUGAUACUGGGAGGCUUGAGUAUGGGAGAGGGAUGUAGAAUUCCAGGUGUAGCGGUGAAAUGCGCAGAUAUCAGGAGGAACACCGGUGGCGAAGGCGGGACUCUGGGCCGAUACUGACGCUGAGGAGCGAAAGCGUGGGGGAGCAAACAGG
rnacentral:rRNA from 1 species